UGGGCGGCGCUGGUCUUUGGCCUCUUUGCCCUCUUCAGGAUAUGGAACUAACACUCCUAGCUCCACUGUCUCAUCAUCAUGCUCCUCACAGGAAAAGCUGCAUCAGUUGCCUUUCCAGCCUACAGCUGAUGAGCUGCACUUUUUGACGAAGCAUUUCAGCACAGAGAGCGUACCAGAUGAGGAAGGACGGCAGUCCCCAGCCAUGCGGCCUCGCUCCCGGAGCCUCAGGUGAGGGUGCUCUCUGCCCACUGUUCCAGUGCAUGUGGAUUUCAGCUUGUUUGCAUAACACAGAGGUGGGCACACUAUGCUAUAAGGGGCCAAGAUAGUAAAUAUUUUUAGGCUUUAUAGGCCAUAUAUCUCUGUCACAUUCCUCAACUCUGCUGUUGUAGUAUGAAAGUAUCCACAAAUAAUAUAUAAACUUUAUUUAC
rnacentral:lncRNA from 10 species